GACGAACGCUGGCGGCGUGCCUAAUACAUGCCAGUCGAACGAGAGCGACCGGUGCUUGCACUGGUCAAUCUAGUGGCGAACGGGUGAGUAACACGUGGGUAACCUGCCCAUCAGAGGGGGAUAACAUCCGGAAACGGAUGCUAAAACCGCAUAGGUCUUCGAACCGCAUGGUUUGAAGAGGAAAAGAGGCGCAAGCUUCUGCUGAUGGAUGGACCCGCGGUGCAUUAGCUAGUUGGUGAGGUAACGGCUCACCAAGGCCGUGAUGCAUAGCCGACCUGAGAGGGUGAUCGGCCACAUUGGGACUGAGACACGGCCCAAACUCCUACGGGAGGCAGCAGUAGGGAAUCUUCCGCAAUGGACGCAAGUCUGACGGAGCAACGCCGCGUGAGUGAAGAAGGUUUUCGGAUCGUAAAACUCUGUUGUUAGAGAAGAACAAGUGCUAGAGUAACUGUUAGCGCCUUGACGGUAUCUAACCAGAAAGCCACGGCUAACUACG
rnacentral:rRNA from 1 species